CGUCUCAGUUCGGACUGUAGUCUGCAACCCGACUACACGAAGCUGGAAUCGCUAGUAAUCGCAAAUCAGAAUGUUGCGGUGAAUACGUUCCCGGGUCUUGUACACACCGCCCGUCACACCAUGGGAGUCGGGAAUGCCCGAAGCCUGUGACCGAACCCGGAAGGGGAGGGGCAGCCGAAGGCAGGCCCGGUGACUGGGGUGAAGUCGUAACAAGGUACC
rnacentral:rRNA from 1 species